CAACCUCCACCGUACUUUCGGUGUGACCACUAAAGAAUUGUUGUUGUCGUGAGGCUUUGGUUAGGCCGACUACUAUAGGCUAGCUACUUCUAGCUUCUAUGCUGGCCCUUCCACUUUGGUGUAGUUUUCGUUUGUAUUUGUACUGAAUGAACAUAUCAAACAAAGGCGAGCAGUAUAAGCCCUUCUCCAGCCGGCCUGGGAAAAGCAGCGAACUCUAGAAGCUAGGUCUUUGUUCACCUUUGGACACGAACACUAUUCCGUUCUC
rnacentral:lncRNA from 1 species